AGGGGUAUAGCCAAGUGGUAAGGCAACGGGUUUUGAUCCCGUCAUACCCUGGUUCGAUCCCAGGUACCCCUGCCA
rnacentral:tRNA from 1 species